CCUCUUCGCGCGCGUCCGGGUCUCGGUGCUGGUGGGUGAGUCUGCCCCGCCGCCUGGCCCGGCCUCCCCGUGGCCUGGGGCGCGUCUAGUAGGCUGGGGGCGGGGGCGUAGAGGGCACGGCGGUGGCCGAGGACACACUCGCUACCAGGACGCGCGAUGCGGAGAGGUGUCGGGGCUAUCCUUUCUGCUGUUCUCUGCACUCUUACGCCCCAGGGCUUGUGGUUGCCGGGAACUGCGGAUCUCGGCCCGCGGCUGAAGGUUGGAAGGGGGAAAGGGAGCGGCUCCUUUUAGGAAUCCCUUGUGAACCUCCCAUGGCAGGCGCCACCACCCUGAUGGCCAAAACCCAUUCUAAGAGCCGGCUGCGGCCGCCGAAAAGACAAGAAGGGCGAGAGAAACGCAGACCCCCUCAGUCUGCCUCCGCUGCCUUGGGACGUCCGAGGUGUCAGCUUGCACUUGCUUGGGCGUAAACAGAUUUGCGGAGUUUCAGUUUAAGGAAGGUUGCCCGCUGCACGGCCCUUCUGAGCAUCAGGACAAGGCUGGGGAGUGCGCGGGGAGCCGGGUGCAUCUCACUCUGAGCGGCUGGCGGGGAGCUCGGGGCUCUCCGGUUUCAUCGAGUCAGAGGCGCAGGGGGAGGUUAGAGGCCAUUGGAAGUGGCAAGCAGGAAUUCGGGCCUCCCAAAUUCCCCCAACACUACCCCAUGCUGAAUAUAGCCCCUGAAUCAAGAAGGGUCUUCCUGGGUCAUCCUUAACCUUCCAGAUUCCGGAGCUUGGGAGGAAGAGUGCCUCGGGUCCCUUGAGCAGGUCUGAUUCCCUCCUACCCACGCCACUGCUCCAUCGAGCCGCCCUGAAGUUAAACUCUCCCAGGGAACAGAAAGCACAUAAGUCUCUGAGCACGGAGCACCGGAGGGUCACCGACCGGAAGACACCUCUGCUUUCAGUCAGACUGAUUGAAGGGCAAGCAGAACAAACUAGUUCCCCCCAAAAAAAUGGCCUGGCUAAUUACCAAUUACCACGCCUGGCUGGUGGAAGUUACUGGGAGCUGCAUCUGUCAAAUGCCUGGACUCUGACCUCAGCAGGAGAUGGAGGAAGGCAAAGGAGUGAAGCUCUUUUCAGUGAACAGUGGUUGUUCAUCAAAUGGUCACCCAGGGAUCUCACCUGGAACCUGUGGAUACCAAAGGGAGCCACCCCCAUCUGACUGCUGGGAACUCAGUGUUAACCCCUCCGUCCCCAGGAGCACUGGCCAGCACCAUCGUGGCCAUGUAGCCUGAGCAGAGACCCCCCCCCCCCCCCCCCCCCCCCCCCGGGAGGAACCAGGGACCAGUGACGUAGGCUUGAGCAUAAUUCCAGCCUGUGGCCCUUCUGUGAAGGUCCAGACUCUCUGCUGGAGCUCCCAGCCCUAAGACUGGCUGAGGAACCAGCAGUUGAGCAUCGGGAACGUGUGCUCUUUGCUCUGCCCUACUGUGACCCUAAACCAGGUAACAUGCAGAACCCAGAGAUUGCUAGCACACAACAUCAGGUCAGUCCCCAUUGCCCUGCAAACUGUUAAUCCAUCUCAGCUCAGAACUUGCCUUUACUUUGCAUUUGUCCUGUAUUUCACUAAGCACCUGGGUUAAAGCCUGCCUUCUUAACUCCUCACCAUAUGAUCUCAGGCCUACUUCACUUUUCUGCACCUCAGUUUCCUCAUCCAGAAAACAGAGCCGAUGCUGUUCACCUCAUUGGGUGGGUAUGGAAUCCUUCAUCAUUCAACAAACAUACCAAGAACCUCAUAGGCUCUCUUAGUGCUAGGUGCUUUUCCACGUACUCAGAGUACAUCUGUCAACACAACUAGCUUGUGGGGGAAAAGGGGAAGCAAGCAGUUAGUAAAACCAAUACCAUGAUCUGCUAAGUUUGAUCCAUGCUGCAGAGGACAAGGAAAGUGGAGCAAUGCCUGGUAACAGGAUUAAAGAAGUUAGGGCAGGCUCCAUUGCCACAGUGACAUCUGGAAUGAGGGAGCUGGUUAAGCUCCAGCUGGAUAAGAACAGGGUCCCUAAGGAGAGGAAGGGUGGCACAGGGUCAUGACCAGUGAACAAGGGGGUGGGGUGUCUGAACUGGUGGGGGACACUGGGAGCCAUGGGAAGGUGCUUUCUUUAGUGCCAAGUGGGGCUGUGUUCGAUGCCUACUGUGAAGCACCAGCAAAGAAGCUGUGCCCUAAGCCCACUGAAGGCCCACUGGGACCUGUGCAGGUCUUCGUUUUAUAUUACUGCUGCUGGCUGUGUAUGUUUUUAUAAAAUGCUUGCUGUGUGUCACCGAUUGUCCUAUCCUUGGGGAGACCAUAGUGGACAGAAGAUCCUGGUCCCUGAGAGAUGGAAGGAGAAUCAGGAAAUAAUAAAUGACUCUUCAGUAUAA